CUACUACUCCCCCCGUCCAAAAAAGCUUGUCCCUCAAAUGAAUGUAUUUAGCAUCAAGUUAGUGCUAGAUACAUCCAUUUGAGGGACAAGCUUUUUCGGACGGAGGGAGUAGUUG
rnacentral:pre_miRNA from 1 species